rnacentral:lncRNA from 1 species
AGGAGAGAGUCGGCCCGAGGCCCGAUGCAAACUGGUACUCUUCUUCUCUUCUCUCUUCUUCUUCCUCUUCUUUUUUCCUAUUUCUUCCUCUUCUUUCCUCUUCUUUCUCUUCUUCCCUACCGGUGCGAAUCGUUUUCAAAGGUUGUACCGUACCAGUCUUGAGCGGUACCGGUACGGUACGGGCUGACCCGGCCGGUACGAGCAGGUUCAGCAGAUCCUGAUCAUGCGCUUUAGCACACUAGCACAAUGGAAACCAUUCAUUUUUUUGUCAUUUUAAUGUAUUGGCUAGAAACCACCCAACACAUGAUUUUUGGUUUCUAUGCACUUUUAACGGUACAUAUCAUUAUCAAUGUUGUAGAUCUUCAAUUUGGAUGCCCCCUAAUUAAUUUUAGACUUGAGAGUAGAUACCUUCUCUUGAGAGAAGCAUAGUCCAUCCCUAUUACUAAUGCAAUAUUUAUAUGUAAAAAUAUUUUUAACCUUCUUAAACCUAUUUAUUAUAAAUUUUAAUGUUUAUGUAACUUAAUAAAUGCACUCGUACCUUGGCUAUCAUAAUUUUGUCAUUUCUUUUUUAAAACUAAAACCAAGAGAUGUGGAUUUAACUAAAAAAAAGGAGCGUCCAUAGAUAAAGAACUUAGUUGUAAAAUAGCCUAGGCAAUGUUAGGUGAUAGACCCUCCUAAAGCCUAGGCAAUAGCCAGGCAAUUAGGCGACCCCUAUGCAAAUAUUUUUUUUCAAAAUUUAUCAAAUGAUAAUAUCUUUCAAUUGUUAAAUUAAAUAUGCAUUAUGCUUAAUAAAUUAUCCAUAUUGUUUGAACCAAAGACACAUUGAUAGCAAUUAAUGCAUGAGUUCUACUUAAAAUACAAUAAAUUAAUAAAAUAUUUUUUGAUUUAAGCUUAAAGAACACAAGUAUACAAUAUUUGUUUCCUUAGCUCAAAUAGUAGAGCGCACAUUCUCUAUUGGAUGUGGAUGUGGGUUCACUGGGGAAAAAGCUAGAUGAUUUUAAUUGUGAUGAAGUCAAUCAAGCAAUGUAAACUCAAUAAGGGCAUAUAAAGAAUAUGGAUAUUGUAAGAAGAAAAUGUUUAAUAUGCCAUAUGCUUAAUCUGCCAAACAAGCUAACAUUUAAACAAUGACAAAAGAAAUAAUAAAGGCAUGUAGUAAACAAAUAAACAAAAAGAAAACAUGUCUAACAUACAAGUAGUAAACUUAAAAUAUAUAUUAGUAAGACAUCAUUUGAUCUAAAGUUAAAGAAAACAAGUAUACACAGAUGAGCACCUUGUUAUUAGUAACUUGCUACUAUGAUAAUAUUAAUGGCACUAUAAUGUUAAAUAUAAUAUUAAAAAAAGAAAACAUAGAUUAAUACAAGGAAAAAAUUGGAAAGUGAAAAAAGUAUGUUCUCAUUUUCCUAAAACAGAGAGUCCUAAAACCAAAAAUCCCUAAUCCAUUUACUUAAUUCAAGCACAUUUUUAACUUACCAAUCUAACUCGACAUAAAAAACAAAUAGAAUCCAUGAUAAGAAUUAAUACAUCAUCACUCUGUAGAUCAUAAUUUAUUAGCAAAAUCUAGCAGUGUGAUUGCAUAAAAAAAUACAAGAAAUAUCAUCUAUAAAACAUCAGUUAUAAUUUCUGAUUAUUUUUAAUCAAAGAGAGGGAAAGAGGUGAGGAGGAAGUAUUAUUAUUAAUCAGAGAGAGCCUGUUUUCUAGAAAACAGAGGGUGGGGAAAAAUAGCAUUUAGAUAUACCCACAGGCAUCCAACCUAACCUUAACAAAAAAGGGGAAAAAACCAUAGGCAGUCAGACCUUCAACAGAUUUAAAAAAUGAAUCCCCAACCCAUAGUAUGCUGAGUGGAGAACCUCUUAUUAAUUAAGCAUUUCAUGGGGGGAAGUGGAAGAAAUAAUGAGAGAGACAUGGACUUACCCUAAGGCCUCU